rnacentral:lncRNA from 1 species
UCGGCUCACUGCAACCUCUGCCUCCACGGUUCAAGCAAUUCUCCUGCCUCAGCCUCCCGAGUAGCUGGGAUUACAGGCAUGCACCAUCACGUCCAGCUAAUUUUGUAUUUUUAGUAGAGAUGGGGUUUCACCAUGUUGGCCAGGCUGGUCUUGAACUCCUAACUUCAGGUGAUCUGCCCACCUCAGCCUCCCAAAGUGCUGGGAUUACAGGUGUGAGCCGCCAUGCCCGGCCUGCUUACUCAUUUUGAAAUGGAGAAAUUACCAUUUUAAAAAAUAAUCAUAAAUCCAACAGUUUUGGAUCUGGAGCAUGAAAUGAUAGGUUAGUUGGCUCUCUCUCCUUUUCUAUAAGGAAAAGUUAUUUCUCUGCUGAAGAUAUAUUAAGGGAGAAAACAGUCUUAUAGUUGCAUUUUUAUUCUAAUAAAAAAAAUUCCAGACCAGGUGCCGUGGUGGCUCACGCCUGUAAUCCCAGCACUUUGGGAGGCCGAGGCAGGCAGAUCACCCGAGGUCAGGAGUUUGAGACCAGCCUGGCCAACAUGGCGAAACCCUGUCUCUACUAAAAGUACAAAAAAUUAGCCAGGCAUGGUGGCUCACACCUGUAAUCCCAG